rnacentral:rRNA from 1 species
CUACGGGAGGCAGCAGUGAGGAAUAUUGCGCAAUGGGCGAAAGCCUGACGCAGCAACGCCGCGUGGGUGAUGAAGGCCUUCGGGUCGUAAAGCCCUGUCAGAUGGGACGAACCACCCCGCAAGGGGCCUGACGGUACCAUCGAAGGAAGCACCGGCUAACUCCGUGCCAGCAGCCGCGGUAAUACGGAGGGUGCAAGCGUUGUUCGGAAUCACUGGGCGUAAAGGGCGCGUAGGCGGCUUCAAUAGUCCGAUGUGAAAGCCCGGGGCUCAACCCCGGAAGUGCAUUGGAAACUGUGAGGCUUGAGUUCGGGAGAGGAAGGCAGAAUUCCCGGUGUAGGGUUGAAAUCCGUAGAUAUCGGGAGGAAAACCGGUGGCGAAGGCGGCCUUCUGGAACGAAACUGACGCUGAGGCGCGAAAGCGUGGGGAGCAAACAGGAUUAGAUACCCUGGUAGC